UGGGGAAUAUUGGACAAUGGGCGAAAGCCUGAUCCAGCCAUGCCGCGUGUGUGAAGAAGGUCUUCGGAUUGUAAAGCACUUUAAGUUGGGAGGAAGGGCAGUAAGCGAAUACCUUGCUGUUUUGACGUUACCGACAGAAUAAGCACCGGCUAACUCUGUGCCAGCAGCCGCGGUAAUACAGAGGGUGCAAGCGUUAAUCGGAAUUACUGGGCGUAAAGCGCGCGUAGGUGGUUCGUUAAGUUGAAUGUGAAAGCCCCGGGCUCAACCUGGGAACUGCAUCCAAAGCUGGCGGGCUAGAGUAGGGCAGAGGGUGGUGGAAUUUCCUGUGUAGCGGUGAAAUGCGUAGAUAUAGGAAGGAACACCAGUGGCGAAGGCGACCACCUGGGCUCAUACUGACACUGAGGUGCGAAAGCGUGGGGAGCAAACAGG
rnacentral:rRNA from 1 species